AAUCAACGCUGGCGGCGUGCCUAACACAUGCAAGUCGAACGCGAGGACCUCGCAAGAGGUUAGUAGAGUGGCAAACGGGUGAGUAACACGUGGGUGACCUGCCUUAGAGUGGGGGAUAACGUCCCGAAAGGGACGCUAAUACCGCAUAACAUCCUGCCUUUGAAGAGGUGGAGAUCAAAGCUGGGGACCGCAAGGCCUAGCGCUUAAAGAGGGGCCCGCGUCUGAUUAGCAGUUGGUGGGGUAAUGGCUCACCAAGGCAACGAUCAGUAUCCGGCCUGAGAGGGCGGACGGACACACUGGGACUGAGACACGGCCCAGACUCCUACGGGAGGCAGCAGUGGGGAAUUGUUCGCAAUGGGCGCAAGCCUGACGACGCAACGCCGCGUGGAGGAUGAAG
rnacentral:rRNA from 1 species